rnacentral:tRNA from 2 species
CAUUAGGUGGCUGAAAACAAGUAAUGGUCUCUUAAACCACAUAAUAGUAAAUUAGUAAUUACUCCUAAUGG